CGGGGUGUAGCUCAGCCUGGUAGAGCACUGCCUUCGGGAGGCAGGGGCCGAUGGUUCGAAUCCAUUCACCCCGACCA
rnacentral:tRNA from 1 species